UGAGGGAUAUUGGUCAAUGGGGGCAACCCUGAACCAGCAACGCCGCGUGAGGGAAGACGGUUUUCGGAUUGUAAACCUCUGUCCUCUGUGAAGAUAAUGACGGUAACAGAGGAGGAAGCUCCGGCUAACUACGUGCCAGCAGCCGCGGUAAUACGUAGGGAGCGAGCGUUGUCCGGAUUUACUGGGUGUAAAGGGUGCGUAGGCGGCCCUGCAAGUCAGAAGUGAAAUCCAUGGGCUUAACCCGUGAACUGCUUUUGAAACUGCAGGACUUGAGUGAAGUAGAGGCAGGCGGAAUUCCCGGUGUAGCGGUGAAAUGCGUAGAGAUCGGGAGGAACACCAGUGGCGAAGGCGGCCUGCUGGGCUUUAACUGACGCUGAAGCACGAAAGCGUGGGUAGCAAACAGG
rnacentral:rRNA from 1 species